ensembl:snRNA U6 U6 spliceosomal RNA
GUGUUGGCUUCGGCAACACCUAUACCAAAAUUGGAAUGAUGCAGAGAAGAUUAGCAUGGCCCUUGAGCAAGGAUGGCAUGCAAAUUCAUGAAGCAUUCCAUAUUUCU